UACGUAGGGAGCAAGCGUUGUCCGGAAUCACUGGGCAUAAAGCGUACGUAGGCGGCGUCGUAAGUGUCGGAUGAAAUCCCACGGCUUACCCGUGGAACGGUCCGGCAUACUGCGGUGCUAGAGGAUGGUAGAGGAGAGCGGAACUCUUGGUGGAGCGGUGAAAUGCGUAGAUAUCAAGAGGAACACCGGUGGCGAAGGCGGCUCUCUGGUCCAUGUCUGACGCUGAGGUACGAAAGCCAGGGGAGCAAACGGG
rnacentral:rRNA from 1 species